CCUUGCGUCGUCGUUUCGGUUGUGAAUCGUGCAAAAAUAAAUAUUAUUCUGUUUUAAAAUUAAUAUGUUUCUUUGUGCGGGGUGUAGAAUCUGCUGCUGAACCCUUUUUAACAAACGUGGGGCCGUAACAAAUGCUUCUUUAUUGCAACUCAUUCCGCAGAAACCCGUCAUCACACUUGUCUCCAUCCCGUUCGAAUUGAGCGUCACCAGCCACACAGUCGGCGGACGCAGAGGGUCCGCAAAUCAUCUUCCAUCUGGCUGCGAUCGAUCCGUUUAUUUCUUCCGUAUCCAUGAAACUGACGACUCCAAGGCAGAAAGACUUCACCGUAGGAAUCGUGGUAAUCGAAAACUACCUCGAACGACAGAAAUGUUUUCCUUGAACUUCAUAAAUAUUAUAAACAAAGCAGCCAUGAAGAUUCCAAUGAUUCCAGUAAAUUCGGAAACCAUCUCCUACCCGUUGAUACCGGAAGGGAAUCAAGUCGUUGGAGCUGCCUGAGUUGGAUAACGCAAUUUCUAGAAGUGUUCAAUAUUGCAUCACCGGAAAAGAAAAAAAGGCAGUGAAGGAUGGAGAUAAUUCAUCUGAAACUACUGGCACCGAAGAGGAAUGUGGCAGUGAAUAAGGAAACGAAAGGCGAUUGGUACAGCUCAAGGAACGGCAGGGAGUCAUACUACCACCAUUAUACAAACAACACAGCUCUCGCGAUAAUUAUCCACGGUUCAUGCAGGAAAAUAUGAUCUAUCCUAUAAAAUACAUAUACGACACCAUAUGAGAACAUGACUGAGCAAAUUCGAGCAUUUGAUGAUGGAUCCCAAAAUGUCGGAAUUGAAUUAAAGAUAAAUGUUCGAAGGAUAAUGCUGACUUCAAGGCUGCGAGAAGGAAAUUGAACAGGCGUUCGGGAACGGAAUUAGAGAUCGGCAGCGCGGUUGAUAACUUUUUUCAAAAGAAGUACAAUUUGUUCUUUGCUGGUAAGAUCACUAUUUAUAGGAGUCUCAGGAAUAGGAGAAAUAGAGAUAUAAGUAGGAAACAAGAUCUCGUUUGCCACAGCCGUUCUAUGCAUAAUUGUCCCAUGUUACCGUUGAUGAAAAAAUUCAAACUCGAAUCAAUUUGUCCCACCAAUCAAUUGGAUCUUGAAAUUUAACAAAUAUUUUUGAAAUAUUAUGAGCGUAGGCAAAACUUUUUCAGAACAUAAAACGAAUUACUAAUUAUUUAUUCGGUUUUCAUUCUCUUUUAUCAUCAAACAACAACUUCUUUUUUUAAGUGGGACAAAUUGACUCGAGUUUAAGAUUUUUCUUCAAAGGUAACAUGGGACAAUUAUGUAUAGAAUGGCAGUAUAAUGUUUCUAAAAAAUGGUUUUAUUUUAUUUUCAAAUUUUUUGAACAAAUUCUAGAUAGUUAAAACACAUUGAAGGCCAUACUACAUAUUACGUAAGCACUUAGGGGGGAGGGGUGGUCUGUCGUUCUCUUACGCAUUAUAUAACUGAAAAACAUGUAUAUGAAAAAAAAAACUUAGAUGAAGGAGUUGGGUUCGAAAAACUCAUAAAAAUAGUUUACGUAAUAUAUGUACAAUUACCAAUAAAAAAGUUUUUCUUUUGGGAAGAGCUAUUCACAACUUUUCUUUUUAUCAUUGAAAUUGAAUAUUAUCACUUUCUAGAUAAAAAAUGAGAGCAUAUUCACAUUCAAAAUUUCAAGUUUUGGCUUCAAAAUUUCAAAUUGUGGGCUUAGUGGCCGUGCGGUUAGCGACGUCAAUCGUUCUAGGCGCAUGUGCUAUUGAGUGUGCACAGACAAACAGACACAACACUCGUCAAAUUUGCAUCGUUCACUGAUUUACUGGUCAAUUCCAGUCUUUUUUUUAAUUUCAAGUUCCACAUUAGCACAUAAUUACUAUUCGUUUGAUUCUUAGUUGCAAAACUUUCGUAAGUUUCUGACAGAGCCAAUGGACAUUGCAUGCCAGUUCCUUCUUAGAGCAUGAUGUUUACAGAUAGCAGUAAAAACCUAUAGUAUCUUAAAAUA